CUACGUAGGUGGCGAGCGUUAUCCGGAAUUAUUGGGCGUAAAGAGUGAGCAGGCGGCAUGAUAAGUUUGAAGUGAAAGCGUGGUGCUUAACACCAUACAGCUCCAAAAACUGUCAAGCUAGAGUGCGAGAGGGGCAAACGGAACUCCAUGUGUAGCGGUGAAAUGCGUAGAUAUAUGGAAGAACACCAGUGGCGAAGGCGGUUUGCUAGCUAGAUACUGACGCUCAGUCCCGAAAGCGUGGGGAGCAAAUAGGAUUAGAUACCCUAGUAGUCCACGCCGUAAACGAUCUCAACUAAUAAUUGCUGUGAGGCAGUUAUGAAGCUAACGCAUUAAGUUGAGCGCCUGGGGAGUACGGUCGCAAGACUGAAACUUAAAGGAAUUGACGGGG
rnacentral:rRNA from 1 species